UGCGGCACCAGCAACUGCCCUCACCACCACCACCACCACAUAAUCUCGCCUUUUCAUUAUCACCAGAACAGGCUGCACCAGCACGAGUACCAGUUCUUCGGCGGCCAAGGCUACCACCAGCACAACGGCGAGCCACCAGUAUCAUGGCUCUGCUUGGACCACCCACCGCUACCCCCGGACGACUACCACCACCGCACUGCAUGGAUAUCCACGCCGUUUCAUGAACCCCCAGCUGCAGGGAACAGUAGCAGGCUCAAGUUGGGGGUGGACACCGGCGACCGACACAUGGCGCAACUUCUGCAGCCACCGGCGCUGCCAACAACAGCCACCAUCGUGAAGGUGCCAUUAUGCAGGGAUGCAUUCACCAGCCUGACUAGCAAUGAACUGAUCAUGGCUAUUGACACAGAGAUGAUGGUGGUGGUUGCCCGUCAUCCCACAAUGCAAAUGCACGAGAGAGAAGCGAAGGUGAUGAGGUAUAGGGCGAAGAGGAAGCGGCGGCGCUAUGACAAGAAGAUCCGCUACGAGUCCAGAAAAGCUUACGCUGAACUCAGGCCACGGGUAAACGGCCGCUUCGUCAAGGUACCCGAAGCCCCUGCGCCACUCGCACCACCAGCUUCGCCCUAUGAUCAUAGUAACUUG
rnacentral:rRNA from 1 species